rnacentral:lncRNA from 1 species
ACGUUUGAAAGUUUUUGGACCAUGGUUGCUUUUCUUGCCGCGUUUGAACAUUUGAACAAAGAAGAAAAAAACGAAUUAGCUAUUGGUGUCUUCAAAAGAAACACAUCCAUUGAUCUUAGCUUUCAUUUAAUCAAAUAAAACUUAGAUGGAUGCAUCCAUUUUAGGCAUAAAAUCAAGAAUCGAAUGGCAUUGAAGGCUUAAUCGAUUAAAUUAAAC